rnacentral:rRNA from 1 species
UGGGGGAUAUUGCACAAUGGGCGAAAGCCUGAUGCAGCGACGCCGCGUGGGGGAUGAAGGCUUUCGGGUUGUAAACCUCUUUCGCUAUCGAACAAGGCCCGCUUAGGGUGGGUUGAGGGUAGGUGGAGAAGAAGCGCCGGCUAACUACGUGCCAGCAGCCGCGGUAAUACGUAGGGCGCGAGCGUUGUCCGGAAUUAUUGGGCGUAAAGGGCUUGUAGGCGGCUUGUUGCGCCUGCUGUGAAAACGCGGGGCUUAACUUCGCGCGUGCAGUGGGUACCGGCAGGGUUGAGUGUGGUAGGGGUGACUGGAAUUCCAGGUGUAGCGGUGGAAUGCGCAGAUAUCUGGAGGAACACCGAUGGCGAAGGCAGGUCACUGGGCCAUUACUGACGCUGAGGAGCGAAAGCAUGGGUAGCGAACAGG